rnacentral:tRNA from 1 species
GGGCGGUUAGCUCAGUGGUUAGAGCGCUUGCUUCACACGCAAGAGGUCACUGGUUCAAGUCCAGUACCGCCCA